rnacentral:lncRNA from 1 species
UGCAGACUGAGAUCCAUUUCUGGAUCUGUCCUUGCUGCAAACUCUGAGCACUCGGUGGUGAUUUUGAUCAGAUGAAUUCCUCCUAUCAGGAAGAAAGGCAACGUAUGCUGCUCAACUUGCUGUUGCUGGAGGUUUUCUAAUAACAGCCAUGAUGACUGCAAAAAAUGAGACAUGAAAGAACAGCCACAUUUAGUAGCUGACAACUCUUAGAGAAGCGAGGCUGGAUGCAGCAGAAAUCCUGACCCUCUUUUGCUCAGCAGUACUGCAUUGCAAUUAUCUGACAUGGAGUUUGGUUUAACCCAGCACAAGAUCAGAAUCCCAGUCAUUAAAUUUAGCCUUCCAAGCUGCCAUCUUUCAUGAGCAUGUUUCCUUGAGGCUCUUUAGCAGAAGGCCUGGCACUCACAGCUUGCACACGCCAGCAGGUGCUGGUGACCACAUUGCUCUGUAACAUCAAAGCACAAUUUCAAUACCCAGGAAGGUUGGAUUUUCUGCUCAGGGGGAAAAUUUGCAGGGUCGUGGUCACCAGCCGCCCCAGGAAAGAGGCAGGAAGCCAUCUGAGGCAAAGGGAAUUUCAUCCUCAGCCACACAGCUCCAUGGAUCCCCCUCAAUGAGAAAGGCUUCUUGCUGCUCACUAUGAUGCCUGAAAAGAAGGGAUACUGCUCACUGUCAAGUCUUCAUGGGUUUGCAGGAGCUCAACUCACUCAACUGCCUGCUGAAACAUGAAUGACCAUCCUGAAGGACCCUGUCAAACCUUUGUGCAAAGCAAGACCUGAGCCAGUUUUUCACCAAAGUUUCUGAGAAACCAAACUCCAGGGUGGGGUGGGGAUUGUAGCCAAAGGACUUGAUGG